rnacentral:rRNA from 1 species
UUACACAUGCAAGUCGAACGGUGAAGCCCAGCUUGCUGGGUGGAUCAGUGGCGAACGGGUGAGUAACACGUGAGCAACCUGCCCCUGACUCUGGGAUAAGCGCUGGAAACGGCGUCUAAUACUGGAUACGAGUAGCGACCGCAUGGUCAGUUACUGGAAAGAUUUAUUGGUUGGGGAUGGGCUCGCGGCCUAUCAGCUUGUUGGUGAGGUAAUGGCUCACCAAGGCGUCGACGGGUAGCCGGCCUGAGAGGGUGACCGGCCACACUGGGACUGAGACACGGCCCAGACUCCUACGGGAGGCAGCAGUGGGGAAUAUUGCACAAUGGGCGCAAGCCUGAUGCAGCAACGCCGCGUGAGGGAUGACGGCCUUCGGGUUGUAAACCUCUUUUAGCAGGGAAGAAGCGAAAGUGACGGUACCUGCAGAAAAAGCGCCGGCUAACUACGUGCCAGCAGCCGCGGUAAUACGUAGGGCGCAAGCGUUAUCCGGAAUUAUUGGGCGUAAAGAGCUCGUAGGCGGUUUGUCGCGUCUGCUGUGAAAUCCGGAGGCUCAACCUCCGGCCUGCAGUGGGUACGGGCAGACUAGAGUGCGGUAGGGGAGAUUGGAAUUCCUGGUGUAGCGGUGGAAUGCGCAGAUAUCAGGAGGAACACCGAUGGCGAAGGCAGAUCUCUGGGCCGUAACUGACGCUGAGGAGCGAAAGGGUGGGGAGCAAACAGGCUUAGAUACCCUGGUAGUCCACCCCGUAAACGUUGGGAACUAGUUGUGGGGUCCAUUCCACGGAUUCCGUGACGCAGCUAACGCAUUAAGUUCCCCGCCUGGGGAGUACGGCCGCAAGGCUAAAACUCAAAGGAAUUGACGGGGACCCGCACAAGCGGCGGAGCAUGCGGAUUAAUUCGAUGCAACGCGAAGAACCUUACCAAGGCUUGACAUAUACGAGAACGGGCCAGAAAUGGUCAACUCUUUGGACACUCGUAAACAGGUGGUGCAUGGUUGUCGUCAGCUCGUGUCGUGAGAUGUUGGGUUAAGUCCCGCAACGAGCGCAACCCUCGUUCUAUGUUGCCAGCACGUAAUGGUGGGAACUCAUGGGAUACUGCCGGGUCACUCGGAGGAAGGUGGGGAUGACGUCAAAUCAUCAUGCCCCUUAUGUCUG